rnacentral:lncRNA from 1 species
UUUUCUGGAUCUAAUACAUUCAUUUUUAGCACAACGAAUUAUAACUCUUUUCAUUUGAAAAUACCGCGUUUUCUGGAAAACAUACACAAACUUUCGAAUGGCGUACAUUUUCUCAAAACACUACUUAUGAACUCACCAACUUAAUUGUUGACACCUUCUCUUUGAAAUAACUUGUAUUCUCAAGGAACCGCUAAGCAGGUUUGGAAAUCAACUUUUGGGGAUUAAAGGUGCUGACGUUAAUUACUUCUUUUGAAAGAUGUUUAUGUAUUUAUCUUUUGAACAUGUAACGAAUACAAAUAUGUAAACAUUUUGGAAACCUUAAAAUAUAUGGUGGUGUGUACUUUCCUUUCUAUGAACUGUUAUGAUACUGAAUAUGAUGUCCUCCGCCCCCGAACGUUUCCGUCGUUCUGGUUUGGGGGUGUGACACCUUGUCAAGGACAUAUUCUUUGUCCUCGUAGCGGGUAAUCAUCCUGAUGUUUCUGAUCCACUCAUUGAAGUUGGAUCCAUCAAAAGUGACUUUCCCACACAAGUUCAUAAGGGUAAAGGAGCCAUUAGGGUUAGAGCCAGAAGCAGCAUUGUUUGAAGACAUCUGAAAGAAAAGGACAAGAUUAGUUUAGAUAUUAAGAGAAUCCUUAAUAAAACACCCAAAUGUAAUAUUAAGGCUAGGACCCAAUCACAAUAUAUUAUAACAUAGAAGAGGUAUGUCGUAAUCUAACCUAUAACAUAUUUGAAAGGUAAGUGAAUGACGAUUCACCAAUUUCCACCACGAAAACCGAAAUAUUAAAUAUUAGGUUUUUUAUUGGUUCUUAGAAAUUCCUAGAUUCUUUGAGAUUCAAUGAACUUUUCAAAGGCAUGUUUCAAUCUCGAGUGUGCCCUCCAAGUUUUGUGACUGNGAGGAUCACAAAACGAGGUGUGAAGUAACCAUGCAAAUCACUUGGUACCCUUAAAGUUUAUCACCCAAUCGAUGUGUCGGUAAACCACACACGCUCCACCAAUACUAUAAUAAACUUUAAAUCACCCUUUAUCUACCAUGGUAAGUCCAAGUUAGUGUGCCGGUUAACCACACACGCUCCACCNNNNNNNNNNNNNNNNNNNNNNNNNNNNNNNNNNNNNNNNNNNNNNNNNNNNNNNNNNNNNNNNNNNNNNNNNNNNNNNNNNNNNNNNNNNNNNNNNNNNAUUAAGAGAGAGUAAAUAUUAUUAGUAUAUUAUGUGAAUAAUAUAUUGUUAUUUGAUUAAUAUAAGUUAUAGGAUUAAUUAGAAUUAAUUUGGUGACUUAAAGAGAUUAAUUAAAUAAAGGGGUAUAAACUGUCAAUUGUUUGAUAGUUAAGCUUUAGACUGUAAAUCCAUUUGGAUAUGGUAUGGGCGAAUUCUAAGAGGUUUACGAUAGCUAAAAUCGUCCAUAUGCUUAUCUUAGGAAUGGAUUUGGAUAGCCUUAAGAGAAGAUUAUCCAAUUAGGGUUUAGGUUGUAACCCUUAAGGAGUCUACAAGUAUAAAUAGACCCUAUGNACCCUAUGGCUGAUGGAAUUCGACACUUGACCUAAAGCAAGGAACCUCUGGUCGAAUUCCUCCCCUCUCCUCUCUCCUAAAUCAUUCUUAUUGCUAUUGGUGUUUGUAAGCCAUUAGAGGAGUGACACUUGUGACUCUAGAAGCUCCAAGACCUCAAGAUCAACAAGGAACUCAAAGGUAUGAUUCUAGAUCUGUUUCAAUGUUGUUAUUUAACCUAAUUAGUCAUUAGAAGACUUGGAUUCAAUGCAUGUUUAUUAGAAAGCCUAGAUCCAAGCAUUAGGGUUUUGCAUGCGCACAUAGGGAAGUUCUUAUGGCUAAAACCCAUCAUUUCUGACCCUCAAGCAGGGUACUGAGUCUGUUACGGUGAUUACCAGGUUGUUCCACGAGAGGGCGACGUUCUGCCCUAAGCACGUUUCCACUGAGCAGGCACGUAUGAGCCGAUAUUUGCAUAUCUUGAGGCGAGAAAUUCGGGAGUUUGUGGCGAACUCCUCGUACCAGACAUUUGUCGAGCUUCAGGCAAAUGCCUAGAAGAGGGAGAUUGAGCUAGAGACUCAGGCUAGGGAGGAGGCGGAGUCUCGGGGGAGGGAUCGGCGACCGGCACAAUCCCAGCCGGCAGCCAAGUGGGCCAAGCCCGCUGAUCCCAAAUCAGGGAGCCAGAAGGGCCGCACUUGUGGGAAGUGCGGCAAGGGUCAUGAUGGAGUUUGUAAAGCUGGAUCUUGCUACAAGUGUGGCAAGGAGAGGCAUGUGGCCAAGGGCUGCCCCAAGGGGUUUGCAGUGUGUUUCCACAGCAACCAGACCGGACACCGGAAGGCAGAGUGUCCGCAGUUGCGUGGAUCAGCUCUGGGAGCACUUCAGGGAUCUGCCCCUGCCUCCAUCAGAGCUACCGAGAGUCGGCCAAUGAAGGCCGAGGCGCCGAGGGCACGAGGGAGAGCCUUUCAGUUGACCACAGAGGAGGUACGCGCAGCGCCCGAUGUCGUGGCUGGUAUGUAUUCUUUUGUGUAUUUAUUUUGAUGUUGAGAUAUUAUGCUUAUACUAUGUUAUGCGUAGGUACUUUUCUUGUGAAUUCUGUACCUGCCUUGGUGUUAUUUGACUCGGGUGCGAGUCGGUCUUUUGUAUCUUUGGCUUUUAGUCAGCAUAUCAGUGUUAGUCGUGAGGCAUUGAGUCGGCCUCUGAGAGUUUCCAUAGCUGACGAGAGGGUGAUAUAUGCCACGGAGGUGAUCCGUGGGUGCGUGUUCGAGAUUUUCGGUGUUGAGUUCCCGAUUGAUUUGGUUCCUAUUGCGAUGGGUGAUGUCCGUGUCAUUGUGGGCAUGGACUGGUUAAGAAGAUUCGGUGCAGUUAUCGACUGCGAGCGGCAGUUGGUGACCAUACGAGUCCCUAGUGGGGGAGUUCUUAUGGUGUACGGUGAGGGUACACAUUCUGGGUCAGCGUUUUGUUCGGCCGCUAGGGUGAGGCGGUGUCUACAGCAGGGCUGUAAGGGCUUUGUGGCGUAUGUGAUGGAUACGCGGGUUGAUUCAGAGAGGCCGAGGUCAGUUGAGGAGGUUCCGAUAGUGCGUGAGUUCCUGGAUGUAUUUCCAGAGGAGUUGCCGGGUGUGCCUCCCGUGAGGCAAGUGGAGUUCAGUAUCGAUUUGGUUCCGGGGGCCGCGCCUAUCUCCAAGGUGCCUUAUCGCCUUGUACCUCCAGAGAUGCAAGAGUUAUCCUCGCAGCUUCAGGAGCUGCUGGGAAAGGGCUUUAUUCGGCCGAGCAGCUCACCAUGGGGAGCGUCUAUCCAUUUUUUCAAGAGGAAGGAUGGUUCACACCGAAUGUGCAUUGAUUACCAGGAGCUGAACAAGCUGAUGGUCAAGAACCAUUACCCGUUGCCGAGGAUCGACGAUUUGUUCGAUCAGUUACAGUGAGCAUCUUGGUUCUCCAAGAUCGAUUUGAGGUCUGGAUAUCAUCAGGUGAGGGUGCGAGAUGAGGACAUCCAAAAGAAAGCGUUCAGGACACGUUAUGGACAUUACGAGUUUGUGGUGAUGCCUUUCGUGCUCACCAAUGCCCCGACAGUGUUCAUGGAUCUCAUGAACUGAGUGUGCAGGCCGAUGUUGCAUCGGUCGGUGAUUGUAUUCAUCGACGACAUUUUGGUAUAUUCGAGAUCUAGAGAGCAGCAUGAGGAGCAUUUGAGGGAGAUCCUCGGAGUUCUGAGAUCGGAGAGGCUUUAUGCCAAAUUCUCCAAGUGUGAUUUCUGGUUGCGAGAGGUCCAGUUCCUAGGGCAUCUCGUUAACCAGAAAGGGAUUUUGGUCGACCCGGCCAAAGUUAACGCAGUGAUGAUUUAGGAGGUGCCGAGGUCACCCUCCGAGAUCCGGAGUUUCUUAAGGUUGGCAGGUUAUUAUCGAAGAUUUAUCAAGGAUUUCUCUAAGAUCGUAGUGCCACUCACCAGGUUGACCCGGAAGGGUGUCGCUUUUUCAUGGGGCCCCGAGCAGCAGGCCUCCUUUGAGACGCUUCGCCAAAGGUUAUGCGAAGCCCCGAUGUUAACUCUCCCGAAGUGGAUGGAGGACUUUGUGGUAUACUGUGAUGCGUCGAUCUUGGGGUUGGGAGCGGUGGUGAUGCAGAGAGGGCAUGUGAUAGCAUACGCAUCAAGGCAGCUGAAGCCCCAUGAGGCGAGGUAUCCCACCCAUGAUAUAGAGUUGGGUCAGUGGUGUUCGCCCUCAAAAUUUGGUGUCACUAUAUAUAUGGGGUUCGGUGUACGAUAUACACGGACCAUAAGAGCCUGAAGUAUUUGAUGGAUCAGCCCAACCUAAACAUGCGGCAGAGGAGGUGGUUGGAUGUGGUCAAGGAUUAUGAUUGUGAGAUCCUGUACCAUCCGGGCAAGGCUAAUGUGGUAGCCGACGCCCUGAGUCGCAGGGCGGAGAGUGCCCCAUUGUGAUAUGUAUGUUUGCGAUUGACCGUGAUGGUUCCGGUGUUGGACACCAUUCGUGGAGCACAGGCUGAGGUCGUGAGAUCGGAGAACCAGAAGUGGGAGCGAGUUGUUGGGUUGGUAUCAGAGUUCGUUACCGAUGGUCGGGGGCUUAUGACAUUUCAAGGGCGUAUAUGGGUACCAUUUGUGGGAGGGACGCAUACCAUUUUGAUGGAAGAGGCUCAUCGGUCGAAAUUCUCGAUCCAUCCUGGGGCCACUAAGAUGUAUUUGGACUUGAGGAGAGAUUAUUGGUGGCCCUGUAUGAAGAGGGAUGAUGUGUGGUUUGUUGAGAGGUGCUUAACUUGCCGUAGGGUUAAGGCCGAGCACCAGAGACCGCAUGGUAAGUUGCAGCCGUUGGAGGUUCCCGGGUGGAAGUGGGAACAAAUUACCAUGGUUUUUAUCACCAAAUUGCCAAGGACUGCUAAGGGAGUCGAUGCAAUUUGGGUGAUUGUGGACAGGUUGACAAAGAGCGCCCACUUCCUUGGUAUCAGUGAGAGCUCCUCUGCAGAGAAGUUAAUAGAGAUGUACGUGAGGGAAGUGGUAUCUCGGCAUGGGGUGCUGAUCUCGAUUGUCUCAGACCGGGAUGUACGUUUCACUUCCAGAUUCUGGAAGAAGUUUCACGAGGAGUUGGGUACUAGGCUGCAUUUUAGUACCGCAUAUCAACCCCAGACAGACGGACAGAGUGAGCGGACGAUCCAGAGGCUUGAGGACAUACUUCGGGCAUGUGUGUUGGAUUUCGGGGGGAAUUGGGAUACGUAUUUUCCCUUGGCAGAGUUUUCCUACAACAACAACCAUCAUUCGAGCAUUGGUAUGCCACCCUUUGAGUUGUUGUAUGGGAGGAGGUGUCGGACCCCCAUUUGCUGGGGAGAGGUCGGACAGCGUGUUAUGGGUAGUACAGAGAUCAUGCUUCAGACGACAGAGCAGAUCCAGCAAGUCCGACAGAGGUUGUUGACCGCUCAGAGUCGUUAGAAGAGUUAUGCGUACAGACGCCGGUCCGAGCUUGUGUUUCAGGUCGGCGACUUUGUGCUCCUGAAGGUCUCUCCUUGGAAAGGAGUGAUUCGAUUCAGGAAGAGGGGCAAGUCGGGACCCCGAUAUAUUGGUCCAUUCCGGGUGGUCGCGAGGGUAGGUAGGGUAGCCUAUCGCUUGGAGUUGCCAGCGGAGUUGGGUCAGAUUCACGACACUUUCCACGUGUCGCAAUUGCGGAAGUGUAUAGCCGAUGAGUCGGCAGUGGUUCCAUUAGAGGAUAUUCAGGUGGAUGCGAGCCUGAAUUAUGCUGAGAGACCGGUGGCAAUCAGAGAUCGGAAAAUCAAGGUUUUGAGGAUCAAGGAGGUACCCUUGGUUUUGGUUCAGUGGCAACAUCGGAAGGGGUCCAAGAUGACUUGGGAGCCGGAGCGUGAGAUGCGUGAGCACUAUCCGGAGUUAUUUGCGGUGCGAGACUUCGAGGGCAAAGUCUAGUUAUAGUGGGGGAGAAUUGUAGCAUCCCGAAUUCCCAGGUAUUAUUUAUUAUUGUAUUUUUGGUGAUUUGUGAGGAGACUCGGCGAGUUGGAGCCCAAACUCGCCGAGUAUGAUCGCGGUUAUGGGUGCGGGUUCGCGUCUGGACUCGGCGAGUCCACGCAGUUUCAUGUAACCCUAAUUCACCGGGUUUGGAACCUAUUUAAGGGCACUUAUAGCCUCCCAUUGCGGCUACCAGUCCCUUGAGAGAACCCUAAGAGAGCUAAAUCGCUUUGAGAGAGAAGAAGUCACUUUUGGAUCUUUGUAUCCUUUGAUUAGCAAGAAGAAGGUGACAAGAGCAAGGAGGAGGUGAGAUUCAAGCAGAUCUAGAGUCCAAAGGCUUCAUUUUGAGGUAAUAGUUCAAACCUCCUUCAGUUUUAGGGUUAAUCUUUAGAGUUAGGGUUUUCUAACCCGUUUGGAGAGUGAUUAUGUGAAGAAAAUGGUCAUUCUUCAAGUUUGUGCCUUGGAUCUGGACUCAAAGAGGUCUAGAGACCUUAACCCUUGGAGCUUUUUUGGGUUAGAAUGGAGUUAUUGGACUUAGGUUGUCAUUUUUGGGACCAAAUCUCCUUUUGAUUCCUUGUUGUGGUUAUACAUGUUGGGUUUUGAGCAUUCUAACACUCCUAAGUGUACAUGCAACCCUAAAUACCUUGGAUCUAUGUUUUCUCUAUUAUACAUACAAAUAUGAACAUCCAAGGUAUUAUCCUAAUCUAGCAUACAAAACAAUGAAUGUAACAAGAUAGAAUACAUACCUCUUUGAUGUAGAAUGUCUUCAUGAAGCUUGAGUGCCUAGUGCCCCAAGUGUGACACCUCAAAUGGUUCACACAACACCAAAUACACUUGGAAUAACUUGAGAGAAUACUACACUUCAUGAAAAUCGGCUAGCCCUCUCUAGAGUGAUACUAGUCGCCGAUUUUGUCAAGAAUAAGAUCUUUAUAUAGUGUUACAAUUAGGGUAAACCCUAAUUGUCAUGACUUUCCAUUUCCUUGGAUCCAUGGGUUCAAAUACACCAUGGAGCAUCCAUGGACCAUCCUAUGGGUUUUAGCCCAACUUGAUUAUCCAUGGAGCAUUAGCCCACUAUACAAGUAUGGAUGAUUUACACAAUCAACCCAUAUAUUUAAUUAGUCUUCUUUUGAUCACUUAAUUAAUCCUAGAUUAAUUCUUGAUCAAUACUAAUUAAAUAAUCUUAUUAUUCUUAUUAUUAAUAUACUAGAACUUAUAAUAUAUUAAUAACCAUAAGUGUCUUAUUUCUCUCAUUAUAGUCUAUCCAAGUGCAUGAUGCCAUGCAACCCAAAUGGACCAUGCCGGGUCGGGUCAAGUCUUACCGAUUAUAGUUAUGGAUUUAGACAUUAAUCCAAUAGUCUCGCACUUCGAUAAGUCUAAAACUAAUAUUGCGUAUGACUUUAGGAACCGACUGGCAAUCGUAACUCUCAAAAGCUUCUGUCGAGCUCUGACCUUGUAGAUGAACUCUGACCUUUGUCAGUUACUUGUCCAUUAGAUAAGGGAUCAUACAUUCCUACAUUCUAGAUAUCGUAUGGACUGACACAUGGAUUAUAAUAUUUCUCUCUGUCCAUUUGUUGUUUCCCGUUUUCCGAUUUAUGAUGACUGACUAAUUGAACAAAUCAAAUCAUUCUUGGCCCGACCGAGCACUUCCAUUUGUCAUCAUCAAAUCAUCAAGGGGCCCACAGAUAUCGCUUUUAUCCCAAAGGUAAAAGGAAUGGAUAAACUUCGACUCAUAUGGCUUGUUCUACUACUUGUUGAAUCAUACACAAAGACACAUUUUAUAGCACCAAGUUACCAAAUGUGUUUUUGUGCGAUCAAUGUACUAUCAACUCAUAGUAACAACUCAUAUCUCUAGGUUUGAAGAAUAUAAGAUAUUAUCGUCUCAUGAUCACUCGUGAUAAAAUCCAUGAAGUGAUUCCAAUGAGCGUGGGUUGAAUCCAAUACUCAUAACUUAUGAGCACUCAUGAGUGUUGUAGCCCUUUGUCCAACACCUUAGACCUCUACAAGCCAACCCAUGACAGUCUUAAUUCAUAUCUACUUCCAACAUAUGACCGACUGUGGAUGGUUUGAAUAACUUAGUCAUUCCGGAAGAAUAACCUAGUUUAUUCUGGAAGUCAAAACAUGCAAAAUGAAACACAAUAAUAAUUGAAUCCAAUAUGGUAUCAAAACCUAUGAACAUAAAUAAAACACCUUUUAUUUAUCACCAUAUGAUUACACAUUAUUCAUUGUAUACUGUUUCAGCUAUCAACUUUAUUCUUGAAUUUAAAACAAUAGUUGUCCCAUGCUCCAAGCAUGUACACUAUGUUUUCUAAACACUAGUCAUGCCAUACACCAAGUAUGCAUACUAUGUUUGUCUAUGAUCUUUACUUUGUGAACUAGAUCAAUUGAACAUAACUUCAAUGAUUCUCUUUUCACACUCCCAAAUCCUUACUGCAAAUGCAAGAAUUCCAAAUUCAUGCCAUUUACUGAAAUCUGUUAGAUUCUAAACUUAUAUGCAUUGAUCCUCUUGUAAUGAUUAUGCACAAAGUCACAAAGACUUGGCAACAAUCAUUACAGAGUAUUCCAAAGGAGAUCAACUCCUUGGAAAUAUCCUUCUUGCAUUAAGUUUCCUUAAUCUUACACAGAUUGAAAAUUCUAACUUUGAAACAUUUCCAGAUUCCAUUUUGACUAUCACUUCUGAACAAGAGUUGCCUCCUUACAGAUUAUGUCAAUAUGGUCCUUCCAGAAUUAUCACUAUACUUCCAAUUGUCCUUGAGUAACCAAUCUUUGGUAAACCUUAGAUUGUCCUCGACAAUUGUUUAAUCCUUUUAGUCAUAUCCAGUUCUAAACCUUUUCCCUUCUUAAUGCCCCAGGCAUUUGGAAAAUUUUAGAACGGAUGAAUAUAGCACAUGUAAUCGAUCCUAUAUCCGAAGCAUAUGGGACACGAUUCAUGAUGUCUUACAUAAAGACUAAACCAGUCUUUUGCUAUAAUAUUUCCAUUUCAAUUUGCCAAGUUCUCAUAAUUCAGAUUAUGAAAAGGGAUGCCGUAAUCAUAAUCGAAUUUUAGAACGCAAAUAAUGGACCCAUAUACAGAAUUUCCUUAUGUUGAGCCAUUCCAACAUGAAAUUCAUAUAUAUCCUUGACUAAAUGAUUAAAACCUCACGAUCUAAGCUUAUAGAUUUGAGAUGAAGCAUAAUUUCCUCUCCCUUAAUUAUAGCAAAACAACUUUUUCCCAAUUGAAACUUUUGUUUUCUAUAAUUAACAUUGCUAACUUGCAAUACUUAUCAUAAUUAUCAUGCUCCCACUAACAUGAUGAUUAUUAGCAUAACACUUAUGCUCCCACUAGCUUUGACAUGUACUCAGAAAUCAGCUGGACAGUCUGAAAUUUAGAUUCAUACACCCUUUCCGUAGAUAGCUCACCUGUGUGUCUAAGCAAUUUCAAGAACCAUGAAAAGGGAUACCGUAAUCAUGGUCUCAAUUGCUUAGGCAUUUGCCAUUUCUCACAAGUCCAUGUUAGUGUGCCGGUUAACCACACGCGCUCCACUAACGACUUUUGAAAAUGCAAAUAACACAAUUGAUAUCUUCGUAAAAUCUACUUAGUGAAAGCGUUUCCUCACCAUCAUUUUCAUGAAUCGGAGAGAAACCUUAUGACACUUAGAUUUAUAUGGUGUAUGAGUUCCUACCCAUAUGAAUUUGUCAAACCAUAAUCACAAGACAAAGAUAAUGACAAAUCCAAAACCAUAUGGAUUGAACUCAAUCUUAACUUCUUGCCACCUGGCAGCUCAAGGGCCUGCCAUUGCUUCCAAGUUGUUGUGCAACAAAUUGAGAACUCUAAGAACUCAUAUGCAAAACCAACUUUAACUGGAAUGGGCACAGAAUAUGUCAACACGAUAGGUUAUGAACCUCAAGUCGUGUGCUAGUGAAGAACUUUAGGUUUUAUUCUUGAUUAUUUCUUGAGACUUUCAAGACCUUUAAGACUCCCACUGUCCUCUUGACAUAUAAGACUCCCUUGUCAAACAUCCAAGAGAUAGUGCGGAUUCUAAUCAAGAAAAACACUUUACCCAAUUGGCCUAAGUUGGUCUUUGUUUUAUCCAAAACAUCACAACUUACCAAUUUCAAAUGUACAAGAGUAGAAAACUUUUACUCUUACAUUUGACAAGUGUUUUAAACCUUCUUUAAGACAUGUCACUCAAAUGACAAUCUUGGAGUAUGACUCUAAGACUUGUAUUGGAACGAAGUAUGACUCAUCUUCUUGAUUUAACCAUUUCAACAAUUCAAGUUCCUCUUCUUAGUCAUAAGAAUGCACUAAGAUUUCCUUAGAGAACUAAUUUUGAUAUGGUUUCUUAAUCAUUAAGAUGAUCACAAAACUGAUACUAAAGUACUCUCCCAUCUUUUCAGAUUUGAGAAACUUUUAUCCUUCUGCCUUAUUUGAUUCUUCUUAUCGAUCUUUAGUGGUGGACUUAAUCAGUGCACAAGAAUGUGUACUCGAUCCCUAAGUCCUUUACUUGACUCACACAUCCAUGUGAACAAGUAAUUAGUCUUAAUUUUCCAAAACUUGAAAGUUCUCAUUCAUCAUGCUAUACAACUUGCAUGAUUCCAAGUUCCGGUCCAAUUGAAACUUGGGUGAUGAGAAUCUUUCCUUAUUUGGUAAAUUUAGACAUUACCACAAAUGAAAGAAUCAAUUUCAUACUUCCACUCUUGCUACUAAUGGAAUCUUAUAAGCAACAAAAAUUUCCACAGAUGCCAUUGUAAGGAUAUUUUAAAAUAAAUAAAAUCAAAAAUUUCCUUUUAUUUUAAAACUUUGCGGAAAAACUAUCCUUACAAUCCAUAUGAAAACUUGUUGUUAUCUAUUCCUAAGCAAUAUCUCAUAACUCCUAAGAAGUAGCUCAAGAAUCCGAUUUUUCAAACUAUGCGAUAGAAAUCCAUCUAUGCGAUCAGAUUCAGCAUAUUCUUCCUUUAAGUUUCUUCACUUUCCUUUGAUUCUUAAACCAUCACCAUGCGACCCGGUCACAUCAUGUAUCAAGAAUCUCAGAAUAGAAACUUAACAGAGUUAGAUAGUGGAUUUUACCUGAAGUAGAGUCAAACUUAUUGACUUUAACAUCCUUAGGUAAAUUUGGCAGCUUCGCAACCAAUGCCCUUUCUUUGGCAAUACAAACAUAUGGACCCUUUGAUAAUGGUACACAGGACUAUCACAGACUUAGCUUUUCUCUUUACCAUUUGGUCAACCGAGUUGACUAUAGCCGAUCCCUUUCCAUUGGGAAGAGAAUGCUUUACUGGAUAUCCAAUGUCAUCAUUGUCAAUGUCCAUAAAGUUUUAGGAAGUUGAUCUUAACAAAUAGAUAAGAUCAUUAAGGGUCUUGUCAUAGUCUUUUUCAUAGGUGUUCCAAAAGAACUCACUAUGUGACUUAGAAAGUAGUUGAACCACCAACUUUCUCAAGACUUUGACACCCAACUCUCCCGGCUUGUCAAUAUGUGACUACAUCUCCAAGAUGUGACCACACCUAGACCUUGCCUUGCCAAUAGGGCCUGAGUGACCUUAAACUUUUCAAGAACUUGUGGGUUAGGGAGAAUAAUUUGAAGAGGUGAAGAAGUAUGAUAUCCAUGGGACAUCAUCUUCAUUAGGAAACCUUGUUUCAAGAGAUUUGGGAAGAUCAUAGGUGUCUAAACCAGACAUCUUUUGGGAGAUAUUCAAGAUAGUUGAUUUAAAGUCCUUAAUAUGACACCCAAUAUGAAAUAUUAAGGCUAGGACCCAACAAACUAUUUUAUAACUUAGAAGAGGUAUGCCGUAAUCCAAGCUAUAAAAUAUUUGAAGGUAGGUGAAUGACGAUUCACCAAUUUCCACCAAGAUAAACGAAAUGUAUUAUUAGGUUUUAAUUGGUUUUGAAACUCCUAGAUCUUUGAGAUUCAUUGAACUUUUCAAAGGCAUGUUUCAAUCUCGAGUGUGCCCUUCAGGUUUUGUGACUGGGAUGCCGAGGAUCACAAAACAAGGUGUGAAGUAACCAUGCAAAUCACUUGGUACCCUUAAUAAAUUACCCCUCAAUCGAUGUGCCGGUUAACCACACACGCUCCAUCGAUACUAUGAUAAAUAUUAAGUCACCCUUUACCUACCUUGUUAAGUCCAAGUUAGUGUGCCGGUUAACCACACACGCUCCACUAACGACUUAGACAAAGUGUAAAGUGUAAUUUCAUGGGUUAGCACCUUAUUCACAUUUUUCCUAAGUAACUAAGAUUGGGUAUUAUUAAGAGUUUAGUUACUUAGUAUUAUCAUUAAUACUUUUAAUGAAGGGAGAAUUCUAGUCCUGUCAAACCCGUUCGGCUAACGACCCUCCACCAGUCAAGCAAGCGGUGGGUGAGAGUGGACACCCAUUAAGUUGCCAUUUUAUAGGCAACAACCUUAUACCCACCUUAUAGACCGGCUUCGUGAAUGAGGCGUACUAGCGGUAAGACUGACUUUACUCUUAUACAUAUAUAUAUUAUUAACUUAUAAUAUUAUAAAGUAUAAGGGUUGAAUUUUAACUUUUAAAAUUCUAAGGGCUAACUUGGAAUUAAAGUAUUCAUAAGUGAAAACUUUUCAAAUUCCAAAACUUGAGGGCAAGUUUUGAAACUAUUCAAAACUAAUUAAUUCCAUAACUUAUGUGUUUAAAGUAGUUUUAAUCCAAAAACUCUUCAAGUUCCAUAACUUGAGGACAAGUUAUGGAAGACUUUAAACUAAUAAAAGAAUUAACUUUUCUUUAUUUUAUAACUUAUGGAAUUAAUUAAGGUUACACUUUUUUUUUUAUUUAUUAUUUAAUGAAGAGACUCUUGGUCCUCCAUAACUUGAGGACAAGUUAUGGAGUCAUAAAACCAUUUAAUUAGAACUAGACUCUUCAUUUUGUAACCUUUGCCAACUUUUAUGAGUUUUAUGAAACUUAAAUGUGACUUUUCAUAUAACUUGAGGACAAGUUACAAAAACACAUUUUAGAAUCAACUCUUAGAUUAAUUUGGAUUGAAAACAACUAUUUCACUCAACUUUUCUAUUAAUCUAAGCAACUCAUAAGAACAAGAUAAUUCAAAUCAAACUUUUUCAUGUAAUUAGUCUAAACCUUAAACUAAUACAAAACAUGAAUCUAUUGACAAUUAUCUUUGAAAUUGGAUUAGCAUGAACAUUACCACAUCAAAAACAAGUUUAUAAGUUCAAAAACAUCUUAGGGUAAUGUUCCUAGUCCAAUUCCAGCCAAAAAAGUCGAAUUUAUGCUGUCUGGGGGUCCAACUCGUCGAGUGCACGAACCAACUCGGCGAGUUGGAUGCAUUUUGCCUUGGACUCGGCGAGUCCAUUCAUGGACUCGGCGAGUCUGCUGGGCAGACAGCAUCAAAACUCGAUUUUUCAGCUUCUUUUGCAAGUAUAACAAGAAAACAAGCCUAGGCUCUGAUACCACUGUUGGGUUUUGAGCAUUCUAACACUCCUAAGUGUACAUGCAACCCUAAAUACCUUGGAUCUAUGUUUUCUCUAUUAUACAUGCAAAUAAGAACUUCCAAGGUAUUAUCCUAAUCUAGCAUAUAAAACAAUGAAUAUAACAAGAUAGAAUACAUACCUCUUUGAUGUAGAAAGUCUUCAUGAAGCUUGAGUGCCUAGUGCCCCAAGUGUGACACCUCAAAUGGUUCACACAACACCAAAUACACUUGGAAUAACUUGAGAGAAUUCUACACUUCAUGAAAAUCGGCUAGCCCUCUCUAGAAUGAUACUAGUCGCCGAUUUUGUCAAGAAUAAGAUCUUUAUAUAGUGUUACAAUUAGGGUAAACCCUAAUUGUCAUGACUUUCCAUUUCCUUGGAUCCAUGGUUUCAAAUACACCAUGGAGCAUCCAUGGACCAUCCUAUGGGUUUUAGCCCAACUUGAUUAUCCAUGGAGCAUUAGCCCACUAUACAAGUAUGGAUGAUUUACACAAUCAACCCAUAUAUUUAAUUAGUCUUCUUUUGAUCACUUAAUUAAUCCUAGAUUAAUUCUUGAUCAAUACAAAUUAAAUAAUCUUAUUAUUCUUAUUAUUAAUAUACUAGAACUUAUAAUAUAUUAAUAACCAUAAGUGUCUUAUUUCUCUCAUUAUAGUCUAUCCAAGUGCAUGAUGCCAUGCAACCCAAAUGGACCAUGCCGGGUCGGGUCAAGUCUUACCAAUUAUAGUUAUGGACUUAGACAUUAAUCCAACAGUCUCCCACUUGGAUAAGUCUAAAACUAUUAUUGCGUAUGACUUCAGGAACCAACUGGCAAUCGUAGCUCUCAAAAGCUUCUGUCGAACUCUGNGCCGAGUUGUUCUUGAGACUCGACGAGUAGGGUUUGGGUUUCACGUAAAUUGUUCAGCAAGUAGCCUCGUCGGGUUCGGGGAUGACCCAGUGAGUCAGGGAGAGUCAAAAAGGGGGCUGAGUCAAGUCGGAACUCGUCGAGUUGUUCUUGAGACUCGGCGAGCUGAGUCGUGGUGUCCCCGUGAUUCAUGCCAGGUGGAACACGUCGAGUUAGGGAGGUACUCGACGUGUCAAGAGAGGAUCCGAGGGAGUCAGUGAACCCGUAUAGACUCGCCGAGUCGCUCUAGUGCACUUGCCGAGUCCGGUCAAAGUUGACCGUUGACCAUUGACCAUAGUUGACCAGUGUUGACUUGAUAGGGUUAGUCAACCUUAGUUGUGAAAGUGUUAAUUAGAGAUAUAUUUGUGUUAUAUGAGGACUAUUGCUCAGGAGAUCGAGCACUAGUGAUUUUAAGGAUUUGCGAGUUAUCAAGAUACGCGAGGUGAGUCUUCUCACUAUACUUUACCUUGAGUAGGUAAUCAGAGUUAUGUGACAGUGUAUUUGUAUGCUAUAUGUAUGUUAUGUGUUGUACUGCAUUAUUUCUAUGUGAUUUAUGCUGUGCCUGGUUAUAGAGUUAGAACCGGAAGGUUCACAGAGUUGGAACCAGAGGGUUCACAGAGUAGGGUCCACGGACCCACAGAAUUAAAGCUUCAAGUGGCUAAUAUGUGCUAUGUGUGGUAUUUUGGGGAACUCACUAAGCUUUGUGCUUACAGUGUUUGGUGUUAUUUGUUUCAGGUACUAGUGAUGACCGUGGGAAGGGGCCACUUGAUCAGUACACACACGGGAUUUUUAUGUUAUGAGUUCUUGGGAUUUUUAUAUGUCAUGGAUUGAGUUUCAAACAUUGAUGUUUUUAAGAAUAUUAAAUGAAUUAUGUUUUUAUAAAAUGUGAAAUAUUGUUUUGAAAUUUACAGUGUUAUAGAUAUACUCGUACAUUACUAGUAACUAUAAUAGGUAUAGUUAGGAGAUACUACUUAUAAUUCCAACUACAAGGAAUCACACAAGAGUCAGUUCAUUCAUGAUUCUAUACUAAUACAUUACAUGUUACAUGAAUACGGUUAUAUAGAUACGCUUACAUGAGUAUGUUUACAUAGAGACGCUUACAGUGGUAUGUUUACAUUGAUACGUUUACAGAGAUAUGCUUACACAAACGCGUCUACAUUAAUACGUUUAAUAGAUACUAUUACAUAGGAUCUGUUACAAACGUUUCAGAACUUACCAUUCCACACCCAAAGCUGUUAGCUAUAGUAGGGAAAAGGAGCAUCGACGGGUGUCCACAGUUGUACUGUUCGGCGAGUUUCCACGCCGUGAAUAUCCUAAUACAAAAGGAUACAUCUUUAGUUAUUAUAUUAUUCUCCUUCCUUUACAUUGUGACACAUUAACAUGAACAACGAAGUAGGAUAUAUUUGAUAUAGAUAAACUAUUUUUCCUUAUUACCUUUAUAUUGUGACUCAUACACAUAAUCGACGAUGUAGACUAUAACUUUUAUGAUAAUAGUUAAGCAGGGAAAAACUGUCACAUUACAGUGAUGCUUUCUUACAAAACAGUCGGGUCUUGGUAGAAGAGUACUUUCAAAACAGUCGAGUCUUGGUAGAAGACUACUUUUAUACUAGUAGGAAAUAUAGGAUAUUCUAGGGUUUUCAAACGUUUACAAUUACUUAAAAACAUUUUCAAAAUAUUCUUCAAAUGUUUACAAGUCUUUACUUUCCAGUUUUACAUAUCAAAGACACAAUAAUACAUAUGAAUUCACCAGCUUUUUGGCUGAUACUCGCUUUCAAAAUAACUUGUAUUCUCAGGUCACAAAUAGAUAGGUACGAUGACCAGGUUUUGUGAAGACAGAGCUGUGAAGACUCGUCUUUUAUUUUGAACAUUCAUUAUGUUGUCUUAUGAUAUGAAAGAACACACAUGUAUUUAAAAUAUACUAUUAAUGCAAUGGAUGAUGUUGUUGCUUGUUUACUACUUUACAUUGUUGUGAUACAUUAGAUUACGUCCUCCGCCGCAGAACGUUUCCGCUGUUCUCGGUUUUGGGGUGUGACAGCUGGUGGUAACCAGGCAUUUGAACUAAUAAUUUGUGGAACACAGUAACAAACACAUAUGUUAGAAAAUAUUGGAUUUUCUUGGAAAUCAUUCAAGCAUUUUUUAAUAGAUUCAAAGACAGGUUUACAUUCAAAAACAUGCUUAUGAACUCACUAGCUUUAAUUCUGAUACUCUUUACAAAAACGCUUGUAUUCUCAGAAAAUCAGUAGACAGGUACUCUCACAGCUUUGGAGAAGACGGAGCGUAUAGAGUCACGUCUUUUAAAUUUUUUUAUACUUUUGGUGUAUACAAACUAUGUAUUAAACAAAUGUAAAUAUCUUACUUAUUCAAUGUAUUGGUUGUGUUUACAUUUUAUUACUAUGAUGCAAUUGUUGUGAUACUAUAUAUAUGACGUUCUCCACCCCCGAACGUUUCCGUCGUUUUGGUUUGGGGGUGUGACAGAUUGGUAUCAAAGCUAUUGUUUAUAGUGAACUAAGUAUACUGAACCUUAAAUGGUAUACAACUAUAAAAAAUAAAGGAGCCGAAGCGCUCUGAAACUAAAAGUAUACUUUUAAAAAUUUAAGUAUUUUUACAAGAAGUAUACAAGUAUACCUACAUACAAGAACUACAUAAAGUAUUUAUGACGAGUUGGACACUGCGGUUAAACCUGAAUAGUUAUGUAAUCAUAUGUUGGGCCAAUAUAACCUGAUAAACUUUAUUUGUCUGAGAUAUGACCAACAUGUGUUUGGGAGUGACUGUGGUGUCGCGACAAGUCUAAAACUCAUCAAAUUCAAUACUAAUGAAGCACAUAGUUAAAAUACUAUAGGAGUAUUUUAUAACACUAUAACACUGCACGGAACCUUUACAAGUAGUACAAAUCCUCACAAAAGAAAGACCUGCAAUUCCUUGUUUACGUUAGUAAACCUUUGUUGUAGAUCUUGUUGGAUAAGGUGUCUAAGUCCAUAACUAUUUAUGGUCAGUACUUGACCCGACCCGGCAUGGUCCAUUUGGGUUGCAUGGCACCAUGCAAUUGGAUAGACUAAAUGAGAGAAAUAACACUUGGAGAUUAUUAAUAUAUUAUAAGUUCUAAUAUAUUAAUAAUAUUAUUUGAUUAGUUUGAUCAAAGAAUUAAUUUGGAAUUAAUUAAGUGAUCAAAAGAUAACUAAUUAAAUAUAUGGGUUGAUUAUGUAAAUCAUUCAUAUCUUGUAUAGUGGGCUAAGAGGCUCCAUGGAUUAUCAAGUUGGGUUCUACCCAUAGGAUGCUCCAUGGAUGCUCCAUGGGAGUUACAAACCCAUGGGUCAUGGAAAUGAAGAGUCAUGACACAUUAGGGUUUACAUGGUGUAACCCUAGAUGUGUCAACACUAUAUAAGAGUCCCAUUCUCCACCAAAAUCGGCUACACAUAAGAAACAAGAGGGCUAGGCCGAUUUCAAGAAGUGUGUAUUCUCUCAAAAGUCUUUCCAAGAGCAUUUGGUGUUGUGUGAAGCAUUUGAGGCAUCACACUUGGGGUGCUAGGCUCACAAGGUUUCAAGGAACAUAAGCAACAACAAGGUAAGUUAUUCUAUCUUUCAUUCAAGUUAAAAAUUGUUCCCCAUGUAUGCUAGAUAGGAAUAUAACCUUGGAAUUCAACUUUGCAUGAUAAUUAGACAAACAUAGAUCCAAGGUUAUUAGGGUUGCAUGUACACUUAGGAAGUGUUAGAAUGCUCAAAACCCAUCAGUGGUAUCAGAGCCUAGGCUUGUUUGUUUGUUAUUUGUGCUUAAAAGUUGAAGAAAGUCGAAAAUCUUGCUGUCUGACUGAUGGACUCGGCGAGUCCAUGGGGAGGACUCGACGAGUUCAUGUGUAUCUUCAACCUACUCGGCGAGUAGGUUUAUGCACUCGGCGAGUAGGGUCGACAGAGUGCAGAAUUUCGACUUGUGUUGCUGGAAAUGGAUUAGAAUCAUUACCCUAAAAUGUUUUGGUACUUGAAAACUUAUUUUAGAAGGUGUAAUGUCUUUUCUAACUCAUUUACAACAACUAGUUAUCAAAAUUACAAAGAUUAAAUGUGAUUUUGAUUCUUGAAAGUGUUCAUAUUCAUAUUCUUGUUCUUAUGAUGUUUAGAUGAUCAUAGGAAUUAUUUGUAACCUAUGUGGUAGAUUAAUUCAUGAUCAUAAUGUGUUUUAAUGGAGUCCAUAACUUGUCCUCAAGUUAUGGAAAACCAAAAGUCUCUUGGAUUAAAAAACAUUAAAAGAACACAAGAGUUAGGAAAAAUGAAAAGUCCUCAUUUUAUUACUCUAUUAAACUCAUAAGUUACAAGAAAUGAAAAGUUUUGAAAGUUUACAAAACUUGCCCUCAAGUUUUGGAACAAGUAAAGUUAAGUUAAAACUUUAGUUCCAACCCCUAGAAUUUUAAAAGUUAAAAUUCAACCCUUAUACUUAUAUUAUUAUGAUUUAAUAAUUAUAUAUAUAUGUAUAAGAACAAAGUCGUCUUACCGCUAGUACGCCUCAUUCACGAAGCCGGUCUAUAAGGUGGGUAUAAGGUUGUUGCCUAUAAAAUGGUGACUUAAUGGGUGUCCACUCUCACCCACCGCUUGCUUGAUCGGUGGAGGGUCGUUAGCCGAACGGGUAAGACAAGGACUUAUUAAUUCUCAUUCAAAGUAUGAUGAAUAUUAUAAAGUAACUAAAUGUUUUAUUAAAUUCCCAAUCUUAGUUACUUUAGGAAAAAUGUGAAUAAGGUGCUAUUCCAUGAAAUUACACUUUACACUUUGAUUAAGUCGUUGGUGGAGCGUGUGUGGUUAACCGGCACACUAACUUGGACUUAACAAGGUAGGUAAAGGGUGACUUAGGGUUUAUUAUAGUAUCGAUGGAGCGUGUGUGGUUAACCGGCACAUCGAUUGAGUGAUAAACUUUAAGGGUACCAAGUGAUUUGCAUGGUUACUUCACACCUCGUUUUGUGAUCCUCGGUAUCCCAGUCACAAAACUUGGAGGGCACACUCGAGAUUGAAACAUGCCUUUGAAAAGUUCAUUGAAUCUCAAAGAAUCUAGGAAUUUCUAAGAACCAUUCAAAAACCUAAUACUAAAAUAUUGCGGUUUUCGUGGUGGAAAUUGGUGAAUCGUCAUUCACCUACCUUUCAAAUAUGAUAUAGCUUAGAUUACGGCAUACCUCUUCUAAGUUAUAUUAUAUUGUGAUUGGAUCCUAGCCUUAAUAUUACAUUUGGGUGUUUUAUUAAGGACUCUCUUAUAUCUAAACUAAUCUUGUCCUCUUUCCUUCAGAUGUCUUUCAACAAUGCUUCUGGCUCUAAUCCUAAUGGCUCCUUUACCCUUAUGAACUUGUGUGGGAAAGUCACCUUUGAUGGAUCCAACUUCAAUGAGUGGAUCAGAAACAUCAGGAUGAUUACCCGCUACGAGGACAAAGAAUAUGUCCUUGACAAGGAGCUUAAGGAGAUUGAUGAGUCCACUGCAACUCCUCAGGAGAUCGCUGAAUUUCGGGCACAUGAAAGGGAUGCUACGAAAGUGGCUUGCAUCAUGAUGGCCACGAUGACAGCGGAACUCCAAAAGUCUUAUGAGGAUUUCUACCCUUAUGAAAUGCACCAAGAUUUGAUGGAAAGAUACCAUCAAAGUGCAAGACAAGAGAGGUAUGAAAUCAUCUGCUCCAUGAUAACAACCAUGAUGAAGGACGGGGAAUCCGUCACGAGCCACAUGCAGAAAAUGCAAAGGUAUGUGGAUCGUUUGCUGAAGCUUAAUGUGAACUUCCCGGAGGAUCUUGCAAUAGAUAUUAUUUUGCAUUCCUUACCAUCGUGCUAUGAUCAAUUCCGCAUGACAUAUCACAUGAACAAGGAAGAAGUCACCCUCAGCAAACUUCAGGGACUUCUCAAGACCGCAGAAUCAGGUCUUAAGGGGAAGUCGGUUGCUAUCACUCCUACUCAAAACUCUACUCCGGUUUUGGCAAUCGGGAAAAGUCGAGGGAGGAAGAGAAAGAGCUCUUCUAAGGGUACCAAGGUUCGGACCCUUGAUGGCUCUUCUUCAAGUGGAACCAAGAAAGGUUUCAUUACUCCUUCUUCUGACCCAAAAGAGGCUGAAUGCUUCUAUUGCCAUGAAAAAGCUCAUUGGAAGCGGAACUGCCCAAAAUACCAGCAAGAUGUGAAGGAUGGGAAAGUUAAACCCAACCAUGCAGGUAUUUACACUAUCAUUUCUAAUAACUCACCCCAUUCUAAUUCUUGGGUCCUUGAUACCGGGUGUGGUAUUCACAUUUGUUGUGACUUGCAGGGACUAAGAAGAAGUGAGGAUGUGGAGCAAGGAAGGAUAAACUUGAUCAUGGGGAAUAGGAAAGCUAUACUUGUCAGCAAGAUUGGAGUUUAUACUUUACCGCUAAGUAGUGGGUUUAGUUUAGAUUUGAAUAAGUGUUGUUAUUCGCCAGAAAUGGCAAGAAAUAUUAUUUCCUUUCAUGCAUUGUAUAAACAAGGUUUCACCUUUUCAUUUGAUAAUGAAGUUGGUUCGAUUAAUGCUUUCUUUAAUAAUGUUCUUUAUUUCAAAGCAUUACCUUGUGAUGGCGUUAAUGAAAUAGUAUAUGUGGUUGAUAACUUAGGAAAUAAUUUAUUGUGUAUUGAUUCUGUUAAUAAUAAUAACUUGGAUAAAGCGUCAUUAUGGCAUUGUCAUCUUGGACAUAUAAGCAAGAAACGCAUAGGCCAACUCCAAAAGGAUGGAGUCUUGGAGUCGUUUGACCUAAAGUCAGAUGAUAGUUGCGAAUCAUGCUUACUUGGAAAAAUGACAAAGUCACCCUUCACAGGUUCGUGUGAGAGGGGUGAAGGUUUGUUGGACCUUAUACACACGGAUGUGUGUGGACCAUUCAAACAUGCCACAAGGGAUGCUAAUCGUUAUUAUUUGACUUUUACUGAUGAUUAUAGUAGAUAUGGAUAUGUCUACUUGAUCAAGCAUAAGUCAGAGACUUUCGAGAGGUUUAAGGAAUUUAAACAGGAAGUCGAGAAUCAAUUGGGCAGGAACAUUAAGAUGCUUCGAUCCGAUCGUGGUGGUGAGUAUCUUAGUUCAGAGUUCCUUGACUAUCUAAGGGAAUGUGGGAUAGUCUCACAAUUGACACCUCCCAGGACACCACAGUUGAAUGGUGUGGCUGAGAGGCGUAAUCGAACCUUGUUGGAUAUGGUUCGUUCCAUGAUGAGUCGAGCUUCGCUACCAAUCUCAUUUUGGGGGUAUGCCUUAGAGACUACCGCCCAUAUCCUUAAUCUAGUCCCUACAAAGAAAGUUGCCAAAACUCCUCACGAUAUGUGGACUGGAAAAGUAUCCAAACUAGACCACAUUAAGAUUUAGGGUUCUGAGGCAUUCGUGAGACGCGAGACUCAUGAUAAGCUCGAACCCCGAAGCAAGAGGUGUAUUUUCAUCGGCUACCCACAACAAUCCUUUGGUUACCUUUUCUACAGACCUAGUGAAAAUGUUGUCUUUGUAGCUAGGAGGGCUUUCUUUAGAGAGAGAGAGAGUUUAUAAGCCAAGGAAACAGUGGGAGGCAAGUUGAUCUUGAAGAAAUUCAAGAGUCAAGCGGUGAAGGAACUUCAAACUCUAGCACUCAACUAGAGGAGGAAACUCCUGUUGAGCCAAUUGACAAGUCUGUACCUCUGAGGCGAUCGACAAGGAUUGGGAAUGCUCCUGAGCAAAACUAUGGAUUCCACUUUACUGCAGAAGGUGAUACACUUAUCAGUGAUGAGACACUGAUAGGUCUGGAUGAACCUAACAGUUACGCGGAAGCCAUGGCAGGCCCUGAGUCAGCCAAGUGGAAAGAGGGAAUAGACAGCGAAAUACAGUCCAUGUAUGACAAUCAAGUUUGGAACUUGGUUGAGAAUGUACCAGGUCGUAAGACAGUAGUGUGCAAAUGGGUCUUCAAGAAGAAGACCGACAUGGAUGGUAAAGUACACACUUAUAAGGCUAGACUGGUUGCAAAGGGCUUCUCUCAAAUUCCUGGAGUGGACUAGGAUGAGACCUUUUCUCCAGUAGCCAAGAUUAAGUCUAUUUGGGUUCUGUUGGCCAUAGCUGCAUUUCAUGACUAUGAAAUAUGGCAAAUGGAUGUCAAAACCACUUUCCUUAAUGGAAAGUUGGCUGAAGAUGUUUACAUGAGUCAGCCAGAGGGUUUUGUCAGCAACGAGUACCCUAAUAGAGUGUGUAAGCUUGAGAAAUCCAUUUAUGGAUUGAAGCAAGCACCUCGCAGAUGGAAUCUGUUCUUUGAUGAAAAGGUCAAGGAAUUUGGCUUUUCUAGGAAUGAAGAUGAGUAUUGCGUGUAUGUCAAGGCUAGUGGGAGUAUAGUUAGCUUUUUGGUGUUGUAUGUGGAUGACAUACUACUCAUAGGAAAUGACAUCCCAACCCUGCAGGAAGUUAAGUCCUGGCUUGGGAAGUGUUUCUCUAUGAAGGACCUAGGAGAAGCUACCUAUAUUCUAGGGAUAAGGAUCUUGAGAGAUCGGAGUAAAAGACUAAUUGGACUUAGUCAGAGUACCUACUUGGAUAAGGUGCUGAAGAGAUUCAGCAUGCAGGACUCCAAGAAAGGAGAGUUACCCAUCCAGAGUAACACCAGAUUGAGUAAGACACAAAGCCCUAGCACUGAGGCUGAGAUAGCAGAAAUGAGUCGAACACCUUACGCUUCGGCUGUAGGAUCGAUCAUGUAUGCUAUGACGUGUACUCGACCCGAUGUAGCUUUUGCCUUGAGCAUGGUUAGCAGGUAUCAGGCGAACCCUGGCAAGGCACACUGGACUGCGGUAAAGAAUAUCCUCAAGUACCUACGGAGGACUAAGGACUGGGUCCUUACCCUCGGUGGGAGUGAUGACUUGAGAGUUGUAGGGUAUAGUGAUGCUAGCUUCCAGACUGAUAGGGAUAAUUUCCGCUCUCAGUCGGGCUGGGUCUUUACCCUAAACGGAGGAGCAAUUUCUUGGAAGAGUUCCAAGCAAGAGACAGUGGCAGAUUCUACUUGUGAAUCAGAGUAUAUUGCAGCUAGCGAGGCAGCAAAGGAGGCGAUAUGGCUGAAGAACUUCAUUGGAGACCUUGGAGUUGUACCAGCUAUUAAAGAGCCAAUGGAAAUUUUCUGUGAUAGUGAAAGUGCUGUUGCCUUAGCCAAGGAACCAAGGGAUCACGGGAGAUCCAGACACAUCGACAGAAAAUACCAUUUCAUUAGACAUCGGAUCGAAGAAGGACUCCUCGUGGCAAAGAGGGUAUCAUCGGAUGAGAACCCAGCAGAUCCCCUCACGAAGGGACUGAGUAGGGUUAAGCAUCUCCAGCAUGCUCGGAGCAUAGGGCUGAAGGAUGAUAUAAGUUUUAGUAGUUAGAUAACCCAGAAAUUUGUAAAGUGUAAUUGACAUUUGAUGAUGAAUAAAAGGUGUUUUAUUUAUGAGUAAAGUGUUGCUAUCUCUUGUCAAUCGUUUACUAUAUUUCUUUUGCAUGUUUUGACUUCCAGAAUAAUUUUGUUUGGUGUAACAUAUUAUUCAAACCUCCACAGUCGGUCAUAUGUCGGAAGUAGGUAUGAAUCAAGACUGUCAUGAUGGGUUGUAGAGGUCUAAGGUGUUGGACAAGGCUACAACAAUCAUGAGUGCUCAUAAGUUCUGAGCAUUGGACUCAACCCACGCUCACUGGAAUCACUUCAUGGAAUUCUAUCUCGAGUGAUCGUGAGACGGUAAUAUCAUAUAAGUCUUCAAACCUAGAGAUAUGAUUUGUUACUUACAAGUUGGUUAUGCAUUGACUGUACGAAACCGCAUUGGUAACUCGAUGUUAUAAAACGUACUUUUGUGUGUAAUUCAAUGAGUGGUAGAACAAACAUAUGAGUCGAAGUUUAUCUGUUCCUUCUUGGAUUAGAAGCUGAUAUCUGGGCCCCUCGAUGAUUUCGUUUUGACCUAUGUAUCGGGCCCGGUUAGAAUUAAGUUGAUGUGUUCAAUUAUGUUCUUUGGCAAACAAAUCGGAAAUCGGCAAACAAAUUGCUGGACAAUAAAUAAGACAUUGUUCCAUGUGUUUGUCCGACUGAUAUCUAGAACAGAGGAUUAUAUGAUCACUUAUCUUAAAUGGCGUAUCAACAUCUUCUCAGUUCCGAGAGACCUUGAAAGAGCUACGAUUGCCGGCCGGUUCCUGAAGUACUGGAGUUAUAGUUAUUAGACUUAUCCAAGUGGGAGACUGUUGGAUAAGGUGUCUAAGUCCAUAACUAUUUCGGGUUAGUACUUGACCCGACCCGGCAUGGUCCAUUUGGGUUGCAUGGCACCAUGCAAUUGGAUAGACUAAAUGAGAGAAAUAACACUUGGAGAUUAUUAAUAUAUUAUAAGUUCUAAUAUAUUAAUAAUAUUAUUUGAUUAGUUGAUCAAAGAAUUAAUUUGGAAUUAAUUAAGUGAUCAAAGGAUAACUAAUUAAAUAUAUGGGUUGAUUAUGUAAAUCAUCCAUAUCUUGUAUAGUGGGCUAAGAGGCUCCAUGGAUUAUCAAGUUGGGUUCUACCCAUAGGAUGCUCCAUGGAUGCUCCAUGGGAGUUACAAACCCAUGGGUCAUGGAAAUGAAGAGUCAUGACACAUUAGGGUUUACAUGGUGUAACCCUAGAUGUGUCAACACUAUAUAAGANNNNNNNNNNNNNNNNNNNNNNNNNNNNNNNNNNNNNNNNNNNNNNNNNNNNNNNNNNNNNNNNNNNNNNNNNNNNNNNNNNNNNNNNNNNNNNNNNNNNNNNNNUCCAAGAGCAUUUGGUGUUGUGUGAAGCAUUUGAGGCAUCACACUUGGGGUGCUAGGCUCACAAGGUUUCAAGGAACACAAGCAACAACAAGGUAAGUUAUUCUUAUCUUUCAUUCAAGUUAGAUUGUUCCCCAUUUAUGCUAGAUAGGAAUAUAACCUUGGAAUUCAACUUUGCAUGAUAAUUAGAGAAACAUAGAUCCAAGGUUAUUAGGGUUGCAUGUACACUUAGGAAGUGUUAGAAUGCUCAAAACCCUUCAGAUAUUUGUUAUCGCUGUAGGAUUAAGAUAUAUCCUUUUUGAAAAUAUCCGAUUCAUGAUCAAUGUAGAAAGCUUAUCGUCAUUUCCUCCUUGUAUCUUUUAGAAAACGAUGCCUCCAAGGAAGAGACCCAAUAGAAAGAACAACAAUCCUCUGAAAAAUCCGCCGCCACCACCUACUCAAUUCGAUCCUGCCAUGUUCCAGGUAGCAGUUACAACCGUUGUGACUGCCGCAAUGUCGCAGAUUAAUUCUGGCGACUCUAGUGGAUUAGGAAUUGGUACUCAUCCCCUUAAUCUUGACGGUGGUCAGGGACACCCGAAGGAGUGUUCCUACAAAGACUUUAUGAACGCAAAAGCCAAAUCCUUUUAUGGCAAUGGAGGUGUCAUUUUCCUGAUCCGUUGGUUCAAAAAGAUCGAAUCAAUCUUCGAAAUCUGCGCGUGCCUCGAGGCAAGAAAGGUGAAGUUUGCAGCUUGCACCUUCACCGAUAGAGCACUGGCCUGGUGAAAUAGCCGAGUUAAAUCCUUAGCUCUGCCGGUAGCCAAUACCAUGGGUUGGGAGAGUUUGAAAGAGUUAAUGCUUGCAUAGUAUUGUCCACGGGGAGAGAUACAAAAGCUACAGCACGAGCUCUGGAACCUAAAGAUGAAGGGUUCUGACAUUGCUGCAUACACUGCUAGGUUCUGCGACCUGGCUCUUCUAUGUCCCAGGCUGGUCACCCCGGAAAUCAAGAAAAUGGAGAGGUAUAUAUGGGGAUUGCCACCCCCAACUCAAGGGAAUGUCUAGGCUACAAAAACUCUCAUGUUUGACAGCGCUAAGUGUCUAGCGCAUACCCUGAUAGAUCACGGGGUUAAUCAUAGAACUGUGGUAGCCAUUCUUGAACCACCAAAGGAGAGUGGUGAGAAGAAAAAGUUAUGGAACAAUCUCAAGGGCAAGUCUUCGCAGGAGCCCUCUAAGAAAAAACAAGUAGUAGCAGUUCAGGAUGCUACCACUCCUAUCGCUGUUCCUCCAAUUGAAGCACCUGCCAGUAGAUAUGUUGGUACCCUCCAAGGGUGCGACAAGUGUAACUUCCACCAUCACGAGCCGUGUCGUGAAAUGUUGAGCAACAGUUGUGUCAAGAAGGGGCACACAACUUGUUUUUGGAAGAUACAAGUCCAACCAACCAAUCAGGCUCCUGGAGUUGGAGUUAGUCAUGCCUGUUAUGGAUGCGGUGAGGUAAAGCAUUAUAAGAGGAAUUGCCCAAAGGCAAUAGGUAGCAACAAAGUGAUAGUGCUAGCCAUGGGCCAGGAGUAAGCACUUGCUGAUCCCACGGUAGUUAUGGGUAUGUUCCUCGUCGACAACUGUUAUGCAUGCAUUCUUUUCGAUAUUGGUGCAGCGAGAAGUUUUGCUACUCAUGCAUUUAAGUAUCUGCUCAACCAUAAAUCCCAACCUUUAACCGAAACAUUUUCCGUCGAGAUGGCUAACAGAAAAAAAAGAGAACUAACAACAUAUUCAUAGGCUGUACCCUUACCUUAAACGACCAUUAUUUUCCAAUCAACCUUAUGCCACUUUCCAUAAAAACCUUCGAUGUCAUCAUUCGCAUGGAUUGGUUGAGCUUCAAUCGUGCUGAUAUCCUUUAUUAUGAAAAAGCCAUAGACGAGAAAAUUUAGCUUUGCGACUGAAUAGUUUCAACAAUNNNNNNNNNNNNNNNNNNNNNNNNNNNNNNNNNNNNNNNNNNNNNAUAUAUAUAUAUAUAUAUAUAUAUAUAUAUAUAUCUUUGUGUGAAAAGUCAACAAUGUUGAAUAGUCAAACCAAUAAAAGUCAACAAAGCAAAGGAUAUGAGAAGAAAAACCACAUCACACGUUUUUGCUCCUAGACCUCUACUACAACUUGCAUACACCAACCUCUUUCAUACAACUUAAACUCAAGUGCUAGAAGAUAUUUGUUUCUCAUAAAUAUACAUGUGUAUGUAGUGUGUGUAAGUGUUGGUGAGAAUAGAAGAGAGUAAGAGAGAUUCAUAUGUUAUAGUGAGUUUUCCUUUGUAAAACCACACCCUCUCAAUCUUCAUCCCUGGAGAAAGUGAAGAACACAAAGAUCAAAAACCAUGAAGUGAAGAACACCAAGAUCAUCAACAAGCUAAAAUAAAGAACACCAUCGACCAACUUCAUCUUCUUCAUUGAAGCUCAAGGUUCUUCAUCUUCACCACCUUUGUUCAUCACAUCAUACACCACAAAACACUUCCCUUACAUCAAAUCACCUAAACACAACCAUGAAACACCCCAAAACCUUGUACAUCAAGAUCAACAACAAAACCCAUCAGUAUUCAUCAUCAUCUUCAUAGAAAUUUCAUCACCAUCACCACCUUAUAUCAACCUCCUUCUAACCUCUAAACAACCUUGAAAACAUCCUCAAAACACCAUAACACCAUUACCUUAGCCAAAACAUCACAAACAAAACUUACCUUCAAAUCAUAAAAAUCCCGAAAUUGGUGUGACAACCCGAUAUUUCAACUCUAUGUAAUGACCUAAAAGUCAAGUAUUGUAACCACUUUUGUGAUAAUGAAAUUAGCUUCGAAAAUAAAAUGUGCAAAAAGUUUUUAUUUAAUUACCUACUAUGUUUGAUGUCAUUAAACCAUGAUCGUACGUAAAAAGAACGCCCGAAUCCGACUUCGUAUAUUGAAGUUAUGAUUUUUGCAAGUUCGGCUGAGCGACGGACAGCUAAAAACUCGAAUCAGAGAUCGAGCGACUUUUGACCGGAAUGACCUAAACGAGAAUCGAAGGUCUCGACAAUGGUAUUUCAGCGGUAAAAAGUCUAGCUAAAAUUGACGUCAGGUAAAGAAGUUAUCAAUUUCUAACGAAAUUUUCUUAAACGCGUCAUUUUAAAAAUAAAUAAUAAAAAUAAUUUCAAAAUUUGCCGACGGAAUCUACACGAAAGUUAUAGAGCAUAGUCUCACCUACGCGUGGAUAUAAAGAACAUCGAAAACGGAGUUCGUAUGAAGAAUAUAUGAAUUUUAGAAUUUUAUUAAAUUAAUAAAAUAUAAAUUUUAUUAUUUAACCUUGGUAUUAUUCGAAGGCGAGUCAUCAGAUAGGGCCGAGUUACACCCAACUUAAGCUCGUACGCCCAGUGUACUCAAGGCCUAGGCCUCGGAUCGUCCACGUCUCGCCCUAUGCGAAGCUAGCACCCGUCCUAUCCGAACUCCGAGGCAGUCGAGGAUCCGGUCAUGCGUGACACACGCGUACGCCCAGCGUACCGAGGCGGUUCCCACCCCCUAUAAAACAGAUGCGAGUGUUCCGAAGAAAAGGGCCAUUCUCUCUCAUUUCUCUUGCGUUGUUGCCUCGUUUUCCAUGCCCGUGCUAACUGAAGCCCCGAUCACUUUGCUCAAGUCCCGAAGGUCGUUUGUACUCCCGAGAUUCCCGAGAUUCUCGGGAAUCCCGAGAAAAUCCGUUUUCCCGAGAAUAAAUUCUGCCCGGUUUUCAUCUCGCCUUUCUUCGAUCUUUCAAGUUUCUCGGGAAUCCCGAGAAAAUCCGUUUUCCCGAGAAUAAAUUCUGCCCGGUUUUCAUCUCGCCUUUCUUCGAUCUUUCAAGUGAGUUCAUACCCCUUAAUUAACCCUUUUAAAUAUUCUAUAAAUGCUUUUAUAUGCUUUCAAGGGGGGAAUACAAGUAAAACACCCGAUUAUUAUCGUGUGUUAUAUAAAGUUUUAUUAUACACUUUUAUUCAACAGAAUCAUAUGUGAUUUAUAAAUUUAUAGGGAACUUUCAUAUGUAAAAUAUAUAACGAUAACAUUAUAUCUUUUGAAACGAAAAAUGUUGUUAUAUAGGUAUAAAUUAAACACUCUGUUUUAGAUUGCAUGUAUAUGUGUCCAACUUAGACACUAUAAAAAUCUAUACUUUCAUAACAAGGGAUUCAUUUUCUAGGGAUUUCUAAACAAACGAGACACACUUUUAGAAAGCUAUAAUAGGUAUAGUUUUACGAGAACAUUACUAACUUUUACAUACUAGAAACGCGAUUUUCAAGAAGUCACUUUCACAUACAAGAACAAACAAGCAUUUUAACAUGUAAAUAUGUUUUUAUACUAAGUUUUGUGAGACAUUAACUUCAUGUACGUUUGAGUACACAUUUCAAGUCCUGUUAUAUACCAGAAUCCCUUGGAGGGGGAGCAUGGUGUUUGUGUAUAGAUCUAUACGGGCUUGACAACCCGCGCCUUGACUGUUAGCUACAGUCCACCAUUUGGGGUGACAAACGUCAUAACAUUCCAACGCCUGAAGAACGUUGUGUAUAGGCAUUCCGAGUCAAUAGUAUGGUUAUAAAACUCACAUGGGGUAUUAAAAAUACAUUGAUUUACGAGGUUUUUCAAACAUAUUGGAUAUUUUAUACGUACAUACAUUUUCUAGAAACAAAGAUUAGUCUUGAUAGAAGGCUAUAUUUAUACUAGUAGAAAAUAUGGGACUUUCUAGGAACCAACAAACAAAAGCAAAACAUUUCAUUUCAUACAAACAUUGUCCUUUAAUACUUAUGAAACUCACCAGCUUAAAUUCUGAUCUACUCUUUCAAAACUACUUGUAUGUCCCAGGGAUUCACUAAUUAUAGGUAUCAAACAACUUUUGAAGAAGGGACGUUGCGUCGUCAGUUUAACUUCAUAUUUUGGCAUCAUAUUGUAAUUGGUUUUGAACAUGUACUUUUUAAACAAUGUAAACUUUCAAUUAUAUAUAUGAUGGCUGUAUUGCUUUCUUUACUAUGUAUUCAUUUGUUAUGCUACCACAUGAAGUCAUCCGCCCCCGAACGUUUCCGCCGUUCUGGUUUGGGGGUGUGACAGAUUGGUAUCAAAGCAAUGUUUAUAGUGAACUAAGUAUAUCGAACCACAUAAGAUAUACAAGCUAUAAAUUCUUAAGGGACUAAUACUCUCUGAUAAAACAUUUUUUUUGUUUUACGCCUAAGUCGCGUUUCGUUUAACUUAUAAUGUUAGUUCAUUCAAGUACAAAUACUUGCAUACAACAAACUUAUUUUCAUGAUUAUAACUAUAUAAGAAGUAUUUAGACUCGAUAUAUGUAAUCGGAUUUGGGACAAAUAUAGCAUGAUUAACUACAUUUGUCCGAGAUCGGACAAAUAUAUAUCGAGGAUUGCUCGUAGUAAACAACAAGCAAAAACUUACCAAAACAUCAUGAGAAUCAAACACACAAAUUUAAAUAAUAUAGGAGUAUUUAUUUCUUAAAAUAGCUUAACAUACCUAUUUAGUCUUACAUGUUCCAAACAUUAUUCGAUUCUUAUAAACCCUAUUCUCGUAUUGUCAAAUGGCGGGAUUUCACCAAGGCAACGGGGGAUGGAUCGAAGAGGAUCCCGAGGAGGAAGAAGAACCCAUAGAAUUUGAUGAUGACUCUGGUACCGACUCAGAUCCGGAAGUGAUCAACCCACCACCCGCACAACCUCCCGUCUUCGUAAGGAACUUUCAAGGACCGACUCCCGUCUGGGAAAGUCACCUCCACCAUUGGAGCCAACAACAAAACCUACGCCUUCCCUACGGCAUGCGCCAAGACUUCUACGAUAUCCGCGUCGGAGGUUUGGCUGAUCGGGCACUCCCAGUAAUGGUGGGCAAACUAGCCAAUCAGUCCUACCAAUCCGAAGUUCAAGCUAGCCGGAUUCGGGAUGUCAACGUGGAAGUACAGGCUCACACUUCUGACAUCCGUAGGCUGGACAGAAUUCAGGACAAUGCCCAACUCCAGACCGAGGCAUUCCAAACACAAAUGAUUGCAGCCCUCGCCGAGUUAAGGGAACAACAAGCCGCCUUUGAUAGGCGUCUAAUGGAAUUGACACAAAUGAUUGCAGCCCUCGCCGAGUUAAGGGAACAACAAGCCGCCUUUGAUAGGCGUCUAAUGGAAUUGAAGCAAUCAGAUGCGGAGUCAAGCUCCAAGCGCAACCUACAUCGCAAGUAGUUCUUGCCAAAAUCUCGAAUUUUGUUAUAAGUUAGGACCUCGGCUAAAAGUUUUUUAAAAUUUCUUAAACUUUGUAACCGGAGACCCUUAUAGGGGUCAAAUUUUCGUGAUCAUUGUAUCAACUAUUAUAUUAAUAUAAGUGGCACUAUUAUUACUGUGUGGGGUAUUUCAUUCAAUCCUUAAAAACUUAUGGAAAAACCAAAUGCUUGUUUCAUAUUUUCAGUCUUACAAAUAACUUUCGUUCUUCUAUUUUGAGACUGGUACUAUCAUCUGUUUUUGGGCGAUAGCAAUUUAGUUCAUGAGACACAUACAGUUUCUAUGCUAUGGAAUUCUUACCUUUAUCUUUUCAACCUAUAGUUGAAGGAUGCCUCUGCGUAGGAACCCAAGACGAAACAACGGUGGGGAAGCACCUAUAAUACCACCACCUCCACCCCCCUUAAUUUAAUGCUAUCAUGUUCCAAGCAGCAGUCACCGCAACUGUAGCAGCUGCCAUGUCACAGAUCAAUAACUCGAGUACUACUGGCUCCGGGACUGGCACACACCCAUCCAACCAUGGCGAGAGUCAUGGGAAAUCCCGAGAAUGCACCUAUAAGGACUUUACUAAUGCCAAACCCUGGAUGUUUAAUGGAAAUGGUGGUGUGAUGACUUUGAGGCAGUGGAUCGAAAGGACAGAAUCAGUCUUUGAAAUCUGCUCCUGUCCCGAGCACAGCAAAGUCAAGUUUCCAACCUUCACGCUUACUGAUAGGGCUUUAACUUGGUGGAAUGGCCACGUUAAGGUACUUACCCUGAUAGUGGCAAACUCCGUAAGCUGGGAGAGCUUAAAAAUCGUGAUGAUGAGAGAAUACAGUCCACGAGGAGAGAUUCAAAAACUCGAGCACGAACUCUGGACUCUUGGAAUGAUUGGUACCAACAUAGCAACUUAUACCAACAGAUUAUGUGAUCUGGCAAUCCUUUGCCCAUAUAUGAUUGCUCCUGAGAGCAAGAAAAUAGAGAGAUACAUUUGGGGACUGUCGCCCCAAAUUCGAUCAAGCGUGUUAGCUUCAAAACCUGACACUUUUGAAAGUGCCAAGGAACUGGCACAAUCUCUUGUUGAUUACGGAGAUCAUCAAAACUCAACGGUUUCUACACCAGAACCACAAAAGGGAAACAACAACAACAAUAACAGGAAGAGAGUAUGUAAUAAAGGGAAGGGUGGGUCUUCCCAAGAAUCUGCAAAGAAACUGAUGGGUUUUGAGCAUUCUAACACUUCCUAACUGUACAUGCAACUCUAAUAACCUUGGAUCUAUGUUUGUCUAAUUAUCAUGCAAAGUUGAAUUCCAAGGUUAUAUUCCUCUCUAGCAUACAUGGGGAACAAUUUCUAACUUGAAUGAAAGAUAGAAUAACUUACCUUGUUGUUACUUAUGUUCCUUGAAACCAUGUGAGCGUAGCACCCCAAGUGUGAUGCCUCAAAUGCUGCACACAACACCAAAUGCUCUUGGAAAGACUUUUGAGAGAAUACACACUUCUUGAAAUCGGCCUAGCCCUCUUGUUUCUUAUGUGUAGCCGAUUUUGGUGGAGAAUGGGAUCCUUAUAUAGUGUUGACACAUCUAGGGUUACACCAUGUAAACCCUAAUGUGUCAUGACUCUUCAUUUCCAUGACCCAUGGGUUUGUAACUCCCAUGGAGCAUCCAAGGAGCAUCCUAUGGGUAGAACCCAACUUGAUAAUCCAUGGAGCCUCUUAGCCCACUAUACAAGAUAUGAAUGAUUUACAUAAUCAACCCAUAUAUUUAAUUAGUUAUCUUUUGAUCACUUAAUUAAUUCCAAAUUAAUUCUUUGAUCAAACUAAUCAAAUAAUAUUAUUAAUAUAUUAGAACUUAUAAUAUAUUAAUAAUCUCCAAGUGUUAUUCCUCUCAUUUAGUCUAUCCAAUUGCAUGGUGCCAUGCAACCCAAAUGGACCAUGCCGGGUCGGGUCAAGUACUAACCAGAAAUAGUUAUGGACUUAGACACCUUAUCCAACAGUCUCCCACUUGGAUAAGUCUAAUAACUAUAACUCCAGUACUUCAGGAACCGACCGGCAAUCGUAGCUCUUUCAAGGUCUCUCGGAACUGAGAAGAUGAUGGUACGCCAUUUAAGAUAAGUGAUCAUAUAAUCCUCCGUUCUAGAUAUCAGCCGGACAAAUACAUGGAACAUUGUCUUGCUUAUUGUCCAGCAUUUGUUUCCCGAUUUCCGAUUUGUUUGACAUAGAACUUAAUUGAACACAUCAACUUAGUUCUGACCGGGCCCGGUACAUGGGUCAAAACAAAAUCAUCGAGGGGCCCAGAUAUCAGCUUCUAAUCCAAGAAGGAACAGAUAAACUUCGACUCAUAUGUUUGUUCUACCACUCAUUGAAUUACACACAAAAGUACGUUUUAUAACAUCGAGUUACCAAUGCGGUUUCGUACAGUCAAUGCAUAACCAACUUGUAAGUAACAAAUCAUAUCUCUAGGUUUGAAGACUUAUAUGAUAUUACCGUCUCACGAUCACUCGAGAUAGAAUUCCAUGAAGUGAUUCCAGUGAGCGUGGGUUGAGUCCAAUGCUCAGAACUUAUGAGCACUCAUGAUUGUUGUAGCCUUGUCCAACACCUUAGACCUCUACAACCCAUCAUGACAGUCUUGAUUCAUACCUACUUCCGACAUAUGACCGACUGUGGAGGUUUGAAUAAUAUGUUAUACCAAACAAAAUUAUUCUGGAAGUCAAAACAUGCAAAAGAAAUAUAGUAAACGAUCGACAAGAGAUAGCAACACUUUACUCAUAAAUAAAACACCUUUUAUUCAUCAUCAAAUGUCAAUUACACUUUACAAAUUUCUGGGUUAUCUAACUACUAAAACUUAUAUCAUCCUUCAGCCCUAUGCUCCGAGCAUGCUGGAGAUGCUUAACCCUACUCAGUCCCUUCGUGAGGGGAUCUGCUGGGUUCUCAUCCGAUGAUACCCUCUUUGCCACGAGGAGUCCUUCUUCGAUCCGAUGUCUAAUGAAAUGGUAUUUUCUGUCGAUGUGUCUGGAUCUCCCAUGAUCCCUUGGUUCCUUGGCUAAGGCAACAGCACUUUCACUAUCACAGAAAAUUUCCAUUGGCUCUUUAAUAGCUGGUACAACUCCAAGGUCUCCAAUGAAGUUCUUCAGCCAUAUCGCCUCCUUUGCUGCUUCACUAGCUGCAAUAUACUCUGAUUCACAAGUAGAAUCUGCCACUGUCUCUUGCUUGGAACUCUUCCAAGAAAUUGCUCCUCCGUUUAGGGUAAAGACCCAGCCCGACUGAGAGCGGAAAUUAUCCCUAUCAGUCUGGAAGCUAGCAUCACUAUACCCUACAACUCUCAAGUCAUCACUCCCACCGAGGGUAAGGACCCAGUCCUUAGUCCUCCGUAGGUACUUGAGGAUAUUCUUUACCGCAGUCCAGUGUGCCUUGCCAGGGUUCGCCUGAUACCUGCUAACCAUGCUCAAGGCAAAAGCUACAUCGGGUCGAGUACACGUCAUAGCAUACAUGAUCGAUCCUACAGCCGAAGCGUAAGGUGUUCGACUCAUUUCUGCUAUCUCAGCCUCAGUGCUAGGGCUUUGUGUCUUACUCAAUCUGGUGUUACUCUGGAUGGGUAACUCUCCUUUCUUGGAGUCCUGCAUGCUGAAUCUCUUCAGCACCUUAUCCAAGUAGGUACUCUGACUAAGUCCAAUUAGUCUUUUACUCCUAUCUCUCAAGAUCCUUAUCCUUAGAAUAUAGGUGGCUUCUCUUAGGUCCUUCAUAGAGAAACACUUCCCAAGCCAGGACUUAACUUCCUGCAGGGUUGGGAUGUCAUUUCCUUUGAGUAGUAUGUCAUCCACGUACAACACCAAAACACUAACUAUACUCCCACUAGCCUUGACAUACACGCAAGACUCAUCUUCACUCCUAGAAAAGCGAAAUUCCUGACCUUUUCAUCAAAGCAAAGAUUCCAUCUGCGAGGUGCUUGCUUCAAUCCAUAAAUGGAUUUCUCAAGCUUACACACUCUAUUAGGGUACUCGUUGCUGACAAAACCCUCUGGCUGACUCAUGUAAACAUCUUCAGCCAACUUUCCAUUAAGGAAAGCGGUUUUGACAUCCAUUUGCCAUAUUUCAUAGUCAUGAAAUGCAGCUAUGGCUAACAGAACCCGAAUAGACUUAAUCUUGGCUACCGGAGAAAAGGUCUCAUCAUAAUCCACUCCAGGAAUUUGAGAGAAGCCCUUUGCAACCAGUCUAGCCUUAUAAGUGUGUACUUUACCAUCCAUGUCGGUCUUCUUCUUGAAGACCCAUUUGCACCCAACUGUCUUACGACCUGGUACAUUCUCAACCAAGUUCCAAACUUGAUUGUCAUACAUGGACUGUAUUUCGCUGUCCAUUGCCUCUUUCCACUUGGCGGACUCAGGGCCUGCCAUGGCUUCCGCGUAACUGUUAGGUUCAUCCAGACCUAUCAGUGUCUCAUCACUGACAAGUGUAUCACCUUCUGCAGUAAUGUGGAAUCUAUAGUAAUGCUCAGGAGCAUUCCUAAUCCCUGUGGAUCUCCUCAGAGGUACAAACUUGUCAAUUGGCUCAACAGGAGUUUCCUCCUUAAGUUGAGUGUUAGAGUUUGAAGUUCCUUCACCGCUUGACCCUUGCAUUUCUUCAAGAUCAACUUGCCUCCCGCUGUUUCCUUGGCUUAUGAACUCUCUCUCUCUAAAGAAAGCCCUCCUACCUACAAAGACCACAUUUUCACUAGGUCUGUAGAAGAGGUAACCAAAGGAUUGUUGUGGGUAGCCGAUGAAAAUACACCUCUCGCUUCGGGGUUCGAGCUUAUCAUGAGUCUCGCGUCUCACGAAAGCCUCGCAACCCCAAAUCUUGAUGUGGUCUAGUUUAGGUACUUUACCAGUCCACAUCUCGUGAGGAGUUUUGGCAACUUUCUUUGUAGGGACUAGAUUAAGAAUAUGGGCGGCAGUCUCUAAGGCAUACCGCCAGAAUGAGAUUGGUAGCGAAGCUCGACUCAUCAUGGAACGGACCAUAUCCAACAAUGUUCGAUUACGCCUCUCAGCCACACCAUUCAAUAGUGGUGUCCUGGGAGGUGUCAAUUGUGAUACUAUCCCACAUUCCCUUAGAUAGUCAAGGAACUCUGAACUAAGAUACUCACCACCACGAUGUAAUAAGACACCAAAAUAUGUAAUCAACAUAAAAGACGAGACUUCCUGUUUAAAUUCCUUAAACCUUUCGAAAGUCUCUGACUUAUGCUUGAUCAAGUAGACAUAUCCAUAUCUACUGUAAUCAUCAGUAAAAGUCAAAUAAUAACGAUUAGCAUCCCUUGUGGCAUGUUUGAAUGGUCCACACACAUCCGUGUGUAUAAGGUCCAACAAACCUUCACCCCUCUCACACGAACCUGUGAAGGGUGACUUUGUCAUUUUUCCAAGUAAGCAUGAUUCGCAACUAUCAUCUGACUUUAGGUCAAAUGACUCCAAGACUCCAUCCUUUUGGAGUUGGCCUAUGCGUUUCUUGCUUAUAUGUCCAAGACGACAAUGCCAUAAUGAUGCUUUAUCCAAGUUAUUAUUAUUAACAGAAUCAAUACACAAUACAUUAUUUCCUAAGUUAUCAACCACAGAUACUGUUUCAUACACGCCAUCACAAGGUAAUGCUUUAAAAUAAAGAACAUUAUUAAAGAAAGCAUUAAUCGAACCAACUUCAUUAUCAAAUGAAAAGGUGAAACCUUGUUUAUACAAUGCAUGAAAGGAAAUAAUAUUUCUUGCCAUUUCUGGCGAAUAACAACACUUAUUCAAAUCUAAACUAAACCCACUACUUAGCGAUAAAGUAUAAACUCCAAUCUUGGUGACAGGUAAAGCUUUCCUAUUCCCCAUGAUCAAGUUUAUUCUUCCUUGCUCCACAUUCUCACUUCUUCUUAGUCCCUGCAAGUCACAACAAAUAUGAAUACCACAACCGGUAUCAAGGACCCAAGAAUUAGAAUGGGGUGAGUUAUUAGAAAUGAUAGUGUAAAUACCUGCAUGGUUGGGUUUAACUUUCCCAUCCUUCACAUCUUGCUGGUAUUUUGGGCAGUUCCGCUUCCAAUGUGAUUUUUCAUGGCAAUAGAAGCAUUCAGCCUCUUUUGGGUCAGAAGAAGGAGUGACGAAACCUUUCUUGGUUCCACUUGAAGAAGAGCCAUCAAGGGUCCGAGCCUUGGUACCCUUAGAAGAGGUCUUUCUCUUCUUCCCUCGACUUUUCCCGAUUGCCAAAACUGGAGUAGAGUUUGGAGUAGGAGUGUUAACAACCGACUUCCCCUUAAGACCUGUUUCUGCGGUCUUGAGAAGUCCCUGAAGUUUGCUGAGUGUGACCUCUUCCUUAUUCAUGUGAUAUGUCAUGCGGAAUUGAUCAUAGCACGAUGGUAAGGAGUGCAAAAUGAUAUCUAUUGCAAGCUCCUCAGGGAAGUUCACAUUAAGCUUCAGCAAUCGAUCCACAUACCUUUGCAUUUUCUGCAUGUGGCUCGUGACGGAUUCCUCGUCCUUCAUCAUGGUUGUUAUCAUGUAGCAGAUGAUUUCAUACCUUUCUUGUCGUGCACUUUGAUGGUAUCUUUCCAUCAGAUCUUGGUGCAUUUCAUAAAGGUAGAAAUCCUCAUAAGACUUUUGGAGUUCCGCUGGCAUCGUGGCCAUCAUGAUGCAUGCCACUUUCGUAGCAUCCCUUUCAUUUGCCUGAAAGUCAGCGAUCUCUUGAGGAGUUGCAGUGGUCUCAUCAAUCUCCUUAAGCUCCUUGUGUAACAACAGCAAAAUUCAGGUCAAAAUUUAAACAUUUAUAAAACCGUAAUUAAGUAUACUAACUAGUAGUUAUCGUAACAAGGUUUUCAUACAUAUAAAGAACACAAAAAUCCGAGUUAUAACGAAGAAGUUAUGACCACUCUAAGAAUUUCGACAAAACCGGCAACACCGAUAAACGAAAAACGCGAAGUUUCAAUGCAAUACUUUUUAGCCUUAAAAAUCUAAAUGAAAGUAAUAGAUAUCAUUAAACCGUGAACAUACAUAAAAAGAACGUCCAAAUCUGACUUCGUAUGAGGAAGUUAUGAUUUUUCUAAGUUACGGAUAUAGCAGUAGGCAGCUAAAAACUCGAAUCGGAGAUCGAGCGACUUUUGGCCGGAAUGACCUAAACGAGAAUCGAAGGUCUCGACAAUGGUAAUUCAGCGGUAAAAAGUCUGGCAAAAACCGACGUCAGAUAAAGAAGUUGUGAAUUUCUAAAGAAAUUCCUUAAUCACGUCAUUUUAAAAAUAAAUAAUAAAAAUUAUUUCAAAAUUUGCCGACGUAGCCUAAACGAAAGUUGUAGAUCGUAGUCUCACCUUCGCGUGGAUAUAAAGAACGUCGAAAACGGAGUUUGUAUGAGAAAGAUAUGAAUUUUUGAAGUUUGCUAACUAAUUAAAAUAUAAAUUUAAUUAAACCCCGGUAUUAUCCGAAGAACAAGUCAGCGGUCCGAUCCCUCGUACGCCCAGCGUACCGUCGUACGCCCCGCGUACUCGGAUGCUAGGCUCCGGAUUCUCCAUGUCGCUUCGAUGCUUCUUCCGAGGAUGCGGUAAGCCAUGACGUCUCGUACGCCCCGCGUACACGAGGCUUCUAGACCCUAUAAAAGGGAUGCGAGGGUGCCGGCCAUAUUUGCAAAUUUCCUUCCUUUCUCGCGCCGAAGCUCUGCGUUUCAACCCUCGGAGUCAUCCCAAGAGCCCGGUUUUCAUAUCCAAGUUUGAAAGGAAGUUUUACGCGCCCGAGAUUCCCGAGAAUCCCGAGAAAUCCGCUUUCUCGAGUAGAAGUUCUGCUCGGUUUUCGGCUCACUUUCUUCAAUCUAUCAAGUGAGUUCAUACCCCUACAAACACAUUUUUAAAUACAUUUUAAAUGCUUUUUAAAAACUUUUGAGGGGGGGGGGGGGAAUGCAAGUAAACACACGACUAUAAUCAUGUGAAACAUCGACCUUUUGCUAUACUUUCCAUAAUAUUGUUUUAACUAUCUUAUGAAGUCAUUAUCAUGCAAAACGCCUCACAACAUAGCUUUACCCUCUUGGGAUACAAUAUGUUUUAUAAAUAGCAAUAAUGUUUUAUUUAUACGUUUACAUACAAAUACAUCAUAUCAAGGGUAACAUUCUUCACUAAAUCAUUUUAUUCAUCCAAAGAACUUAUGAUUUAUGCUUUGUCAAACAUUGUGAAAAAGGAUAAACUUUGCAUACGAAACUACUACUUUAAUACAGACUUAGUUGAGAAUCCGUGAGACGUGUACAUCUUCAAAUCAUGCCUUUUUGCUAAAAGGUACCGCUUCAAGUCCUAUCUAUAACCAGAGUCUCCCGUUCGGAGAACGUGUCAAAUGUGUAUAGAUCUAUACGGGAAGUCAUGAUCCCGCGCCCUGACUGUUAGCUACAGUCCGUCUUUUGGGGUGACAGUUGUUCAUAACACUACGAUGCCUGAAGAACGUCGCUACAGGCAUAUUAUGUUCAGUAUGGUUAUAAAACUCAUCGGAUAUACAAUUAUUAUGGUAUUAUGCUUUUAUGAACAAGUAGUUACUAAAACUAUUCUUCAUCUAACAAGUGCGAUCUUCAUAUAGCUUUAUUAUAUAAAACUAUGCCACACCUUUUAAGCACGUCGGUUGCUUGCGAUUUUCAGUCUUAGAGACUGCCAGUUACUUUAGGAAAAUAAGGGUUUUUCCCGCAUCUAGAACAAACAACUAAUAGGAAAAUAAGGGAUUUUCCUAGUGCAAUUGUUUACAACUUAUAACACGAACAUUCAUAUGCAUUUCAUACUUUUAUAAGAAAAUAAGGGUUUUUCUUGGAAAACACAACAAAUCAUAUCUCAACUAUUAGGGAAAAUAUGGGAUUUUCUGGAUCUAAUACAUUCAUUUUCAACACAACGAAUCAUAACUCUUUACAAUUGAAAUACUGCGUUUUCUGGAAAACAUACACGAACUUUCGAAUGGCGUACAUUUUCUCAAAACACUACUUAUGAACUCACCAACUUAAUUGUUGACACUUUUUCUUUGAAAUAACUUGUAUUCUCAGGGAACCGCUAAGCAGGUUUGGAAAUCAACUUUUGGGGAUUAACGUGCUGACGUUAAUUACUUCUUUUGAAAGAUGUUUAUGUAUUUAUCUUUUGAAC